rnacentral:rRNA from 1 species
GAUGAACGCUGGCGGCGUGCCUAAUACAUGCAAGUCGAGCGAACAGACGAGGAGCUUGCUCCUCUGACGUUAGCGGCGGACGGGUGAGUAACACGUGGAUAACCUACCUAUAAGACUGGGAUAACUUCGGGAAACCGGAGCUAAUACCGGAUAAUAUAUUGAACCGCAUGGUUCAAUAGUGAAAGAGGGUUUGCUGGCACCUAUAGAUGGGUCCCGGCCGCAUUAGCUAGUUGGUAAGGUAACGGCUUUCCAAGGCAACGAUGCGUAGCCGACCUGAGAGGGUGAUCGGCCACACUGGAACUGAGACACGGUCCAGACUCCUACGGGAGGCAGCAGUAGGGAAUCUUCCGCAAUGGGCGAAAGCUUGACGGAGCAACGCCGCGUGAGUGAUGAAGGUCUCCGGAUCGUAAAACUCUGUUAUUAGGGAAGAACAAAUGUGUAAGUAACUAUGCACGUCUUGACGGUACCUAAUCAGAAAGCCACGGCUAACUACGUG